CCUACGGGCGGCAGCAGUGGGGAAUAUUGCGCAAUGGGCGAAAGCCUGACGCAGCGACGCCGCGUGAGGGAUGAAGGUCUUCGGAUCGUAAACCUCUGUCAGCAGGGAAGAACGGUCACUGUGCUAAUCAGCAGUGAAUUGACGGUACCUGCAAAGGAAGCACCGGCUAACUCCGUGCCAGCAGCCGCGGUAAUACGGAGGGUGCGAGCGUUAAUCGGAAUUACUGGGCGUAAAGCGGUCGUAGGCGGUAUGGCAAGUCAAGGGUGAAAUCCCCGCGCUCAACGUGGGAACUGCCUUUGAAACUGGGAAACUGGAGUGUGUGAGAGGAUAGUGGAAGUCCAGGUGUAGGAGUGAAAUGCGUAGAUAUCUGGAGGAACAUCAGUGGCGAAGGCGACUAUCUGGCACAUAACUGACGCUGAGGAGCGAAAGCGUGGGUAGCAAACAGGAUUAGAUACCCGAGUAGUC
rnacentral:rRNA from 1 species